GCUGCACUAUGGAGUCCGAUGCCCGACUCCUGCGACGUGCCCGACUGACUAUCGGAGGGGCCCCAAAUUUUCAUCCGACGCCCUUCAACUGGCCGCCGACCUAUGGUCGGUCGGCUCCUCCAAUCGUCGUACUACUGCAAGAGACUGUCAGUCCUGACAACGGCAUGCGACACUGCCGCCUAGGGGCAUUAUCCCGCCUAAGGCAUGGUCAACCCUAGC
rnacentral:lncRNA from 1 species